CCUCCAAGGCUAAAUACUCCUGACUGACCGAUAGUGAACCAGUACCGUGAGGGAAAGGCGAAAAGAACCCCGGCGAGGGGAGUGAAAAAGAACCUGAAACCGUGUACGUACAAGCAGUGGGAGCCCCACCACCAAAGCAUUCUCUGGUGUUGAAGGCCCUGCAAAGCAGCAUCGCGGUGGCGGAGCGUCGUUUGCGACGCCCAACACACAAAACAAGCGGUGAGUGCUUUGGGGUGGGGUGACUGCGUACCUUUUGUAUAAUGGGUCAGCGACUUAUAUUCUGUAGCAAGGUUAACCGUAUAGGGGAGCCGUAGGGAAACCGAGUCUUAACCGGGCGUUAAGUUGCAGGGUAUAGACCCGAAACCCGGUGAUCUAGCCAUGGGCAGGUUGAAGGUUGGGUAACACUAACUGGAGGACCGAACCGACUAAUGUUGAAAAAUUAGCGGAUGACUUGUGGCUGGGGGUGAAAGGCCAAUCAAACCGGGAGAUAGCUGGUUCUCCCCGAAAGCUAUUUAGGUAGCGCCUCGUGAAUUCAUCUUCGGGGGUAGAGCACUGUUUCGGCUAGGGGGUCAUCCCGACUUACCAACCCGAUGCAAACUGCGAAUACCGGAGAAUGUUAUCACGGGAGACACACGGCGGGUGCUAACGUCCGUCGUGAAGAGGGAAACAACCCAGACCGCCAGCUAAGGUCCCAAAGUCAUGGUUAAGUGGGAAACGAUGUGGGAAGGCCCAGACAGCCAGGAUGUUGGCUUAGAAGCAGCCAUCAUUUAAAGAAAGCGUAAUAGCUCACUGGUCGAGUCGGCCUGCGCGGAAGAUGUAACGGGGCUAAACCAUGCACCGAAGCUGCGGCAGCGACACUGUGUGUUGUUGGGUAGGGGAGCGUUCUGUAAGCCUGCGAAGGUGGCCUGUGAGGGUUGCUGGAGGUAUCAGAAGUGCGAAUGCUGACAUAAGUAACGAUAAAGCGGGUGAAAAGCCCGCUCGCCGGAAGACCAAGGGUUCCUGUCCAACGUUAAUCGGGGCAGGGUGAGUCGACCCCUAAGGCGAGGCCGAAAGGCGUAGUCGAUGGGAAACAGGUUAAUAUUCCUGUACUUGGUGUUACUGCGAAGGGGGGACGGAGAAGGCUAUGUUGGCCGGGCGACGGUUGUCCCGGUUUAAGCGUGUAGGUGUGUGUUCCAGGUAAAUCCGGUUCACUUUAACACUGAGGCGUGA
rnacentral:rRNA from 1 species